ensembl:lncRNA
UAUAUAUAUAUAUAUAUAUAUAAGAGAGAGAAGUUUUUUAAAUGGAUAAAGGUUUUUGGUCUGUUGGUGGAAACUAACUCUUGCUUUGCGUGCAUUCUGCCUCGUUCAUAAGCUGCUUUGAAAAAAAUAAAUAAAUGUGAAGUUAUUAUAAACCCUGUACUUACCUCUGGAGCUCAAACAUCCAAAACAGCAAGUUUAGCAAACGUAGCUAAUCUGGUUGUGCUAAAGUUUAAAAAUGUUUCAGCUUGUGAUAAUGAAGGAGCUGAUGUCUCGGUGUUUUACUAUAAACGACAUUUUGUCACGUUCCUUUUGUCCUAAGGGUGUGCAAACUUUUGUACUCAGCUGUACAUGUAGAAACUACAAUUGGACUUUAUUUAUUUUCUUUCUCACAGUUCCUGUACACUGCGAUCUCAACCUUGGCUCGGUGCUCACAGAACUCAAACAUGUAGAACCUAAUCAUAUUUUGUUUAUGUAUUUAUUUUUUUGAAUAUCUUUUAAAACCUUUCUCCCACUUUCUGAAAAAAACAAAAAAAAAACAACAUUGGUCAUAAAGUCUUAACGUCAGAGUCUAUUUUUUGUUCCGUUUUAAGUGUUUAAGAAGUCGAGUCUUCAAAAGAUUGCUAAGGUUAUGGAUUAUUACGGAUAAAGCAGAUUCCUGGCAAUGACCAGUCAUCUGAUCAUUCCAUAAUAUAACACUAGAAAAAUUGCUUUUAUUAAUAAUAAGUGCUUGAAAUAAAGGCAGGUUGUUGAUUGAUGUAUCCAGGCAGUCAGCUUGCUCCAUCAUCCAUAGAUGAGCUUUCGGUCUGAUUUGCUAAAUAAUACAUAUGAAGAUUAUGAAGCAUCCAUCCAUCCAUCCAUUCAUUUUCAAUACCGCUUAUUCUACACAGGGUCACAGGGAGCCUGGAGCCUAUCCCAGGGGAUCCGGGGCACGAGGCGGGGGACAACCUGAAUGGGGUGCCAAAGCAUCACAGGGCACGGUCUCACGCUAUGGAUAAUUCGGAAAUGCAAAUCAGCCUGCAACACUCGGGGAGGAAACCGGAGUACCCAGAGGAAACCUGCAAACUCCAGGGGAACAUGCAAACUCCACACACACGAGGGCAGAGGACAGCAAGAGCUUCUCUCAGAGUGCACCAUGGGGUGUAGCGCGAGUAAAUCCCUUAAAGUCGUAAAGGUCGCAGAAACCAUCGGGGAUGCCGACGAGAACGUCGACUCGAAGGGGUCGGACGAUGGAGAUGCGAACUCGAAAGCAGGGGACGAUGCCGACGACGCCGGGAACGACGAGAGCUGAUGACGUUUCUCCUGCACGCGUUACUUUUAAGACUCCAUAAAGUUCUCCACACCUGGAGGAUGAUCCUGGAUCCACUCAGAUCCAGAAGAUCCUGGAUCCCCAAGACCUAUAGAUGCAGUCCAGUACAAAAUUUUGCACCACCCCCCUUUUCCCAUUUUACAACAAUUACAGUGUACCUAGGUUUUAGAAAGAAAGAGAAUUUGAAGAAGUUAAAUAUGAAAUGUGGGUGUAUCCUGCAACAAGACAACAGGAUAAAUCAACAGAAAUCUAUUUUUGAAAAGAAGUGAAGAAGGCAGAGGUUGACGUCGGUGUGUGGUGAAUGUUACUAUUAGAAUUUAAAACCUCAAAAAAGGAUGCGAAAGAUGUAGAAGGGAAAUGCUGGGCAUACAUGCCUAGGAGACAUAUUUAAGAGGGGAGAUGAAAACUUUUGAACUGAUAUAAUUUGCACUCUUUUCACUUUUAAUAUCCCAACACAGUGUGACCAUUUUUCUGAUUUGAGUCUCAAUAACAAAGAAGCAUUUUUUUUUUAAAAACAUAACUCCAAAUAUCUUGUGUUAAAUGUGUUAAAUUGUCUAGACGUGCUACACCUAGUGUCUAAAUGCUCAAUUAGCCAAAAUAAAUAAUCGACAUUGAAAAAACCAAAUGUGUUCUAUUAUCUUAUAACGAGAAUCCAGCUGUUAUCAGUUAUGUAAUAAUAAAAGCAAUAUUGUUAGCAUUCCUUCCCCCUUCUCAAAUCACUACAUGAAAACAUGGACAUUUAGUAUAUGAUGAAUUAUUGAUAAAUGAGUUUUGGUGAAAUUAGUUUUUGAUUAAAAGUGCACGACAAGCCUGCAUUACUUCCACUGUCCACCAGGUGUCUCCAGAACUCUUGUUUUACUGACAAAACCACCAGCAGAGGGCAACAUCGCUCCACCACAAUCCUGCAAACUUUCCUCCCUCUACAGAACAGUAAAUCUGCUUGAAUUUCAUGGUUUAGAUUUAUUAGCAGAGACACGAUCGAGCUCGAAUGAAACAACCAAUUCUGCACAGCUCUAUCACACCCACACCCCC